rnacentral:rRNA from 1 species
UACGAAGGGGGCGAGCGUUGUUCGGAAUUACUGGGCGUAAAGCGCGCGUAGGCGGCUUUGUAAGUUAGAGGUGAAAGCCCGGGGCUCAACCCCGGGAGGCGGAUGGAUACUGCAAGGCUCGAGUACGGAAGAGGCGAGUGGAAUUCCCGGUGUAGCGGUGAAAUGCGCAGAUAUCGGGAGGAACACCAAUGGCGAAGGCAGCUCGCUGGGACGUUACUGACGCUGAGACGCGAAAGCGUGGGGAGCAAACAGGG